rnacentral:rRNA from 1 species
UACGUAGGGUGCAAGCGUUGUUCGGAAUCAUUGGGCGUAAAGCGCGUGUAGGUGGUUAGAUAAGUCGAUUGUGAAAUCCCUGGGCUCAACCGAGGAAGUGCAGUCGAAACUAUCUAGCUAGAGGACGGCAGAGGAAGGUGGAAUUCCAAGUGUAGAGGUGAAAUUCGUAGAUAUUUGGAGGAAUACCUGUGGCGAAGGCGGCCUUCUGGACCGGUCCUGACACUGAGACGCGAAAGCGUGGGGAGCAAACAGG